GAACCACUUGGCUUUAUUCCGAA
rnacentral:siRNA from 1 species